rnacentral:rRNA from 1 species
AGUGAACGCUGGCGGCAGGCCUAACACAUGCAAGUCGAACGGACGCACAGUAAGCGCUCGCCCCUACGGGUGGCGAGUGGCGGACGGGUAAGGCAUACAUAGCCAUCUUCUUUUUCGGGGGGGAUAACGUAGAGCAACUUAUACUACCACCGCAUAUGAUCUACGGGUGAAAGCAAGGGUUCUUCGCAGUCUUCGUGUCUGUAUGAGACGGUGCCGCAUUAGCUAGUUGGCGUGGUAAAGGCACACCAAGGCAACGAUACGUAGCUGGUCUGAGAGGAUGAUCGGCCACACUGGAACUGAGACACGGUCCAGACUCCUACGGGAGGCAGCAGUGGGGAAUAUUGGACAAUGGGCGCAAGCCUGAUGCAGCCAUGCCGCGUGAGUGAUGAAGGUCUUCGGGUUGUAAAGCCCUUUUGUUGGGAAAGAAAAGCAGCAUGUGAAUACCCCGCUGUUUUGACGGUACCCAAACAGUAAGCACCGGCUAACUUCGUG